GUUUCUUUUACUGUAUUCUCUUUUUCUCUGUCCCUCCCUUUCUCUCUUUUAUUAUUUCCCAUCACCAAUUUAUAUCUCAUGAAUUUUGCUUGGCUUUCUUCUCUCCUGGCUGUUCUUUCCACCCCCCUCUCCUCCGCCCCCUCCGUUUCUUUCUCUCUGUGGACAUGUUUAAUCUUUCUCUCAGCGCUGCACAUUUUUGUGUCUCUGUCUUUGUUUACAUUAUAAAGUCUGUUGUUGGACUUGGAUGUAAAUUUGUCAGUAAAUGCUCUCAUCGCCUCCUGUGGUGUCUGUUUGGGGUGUGACGGGAUAGAGCCGGCAAUGAGGCUAAUCCAGGAGGUAGGGCAUGCACAAGUUUUCUCGUUUCUCUCAGCAUGUUUUCCUUCUGAUUUAUACCGCCACUAGGGACCCCUCUCUGUAAUGAAAGAAAAUGGAUGAUCCCCUUGUUAUUUUGUGUAUGAAUGGGCUUGCAACACCGCGUCUGGGUAAUGUUAAAAAUUAUUCCAAUUUUCACCUUGUAAUUUUGAAACAUUCACCUUCUGCCUCUCCUUUCCCAGUGCGGUUGCUGAUUUCCAGUUGUGUGUGUUUUGUGUGCGUGUGUCUCUCAUCUUAUGCUAUUGCUGAUUUCGUAUUCUGUCCUGUCCCAUCCCUCUACUCAGUAGGAAGGCCAUUGAGCUUUCUUUCAAUAUGAAUCACUCUCUAGAGUCGCUCUGCGGGUCGAUCUGGCUUAACAGUGACAGAGGCUGGCAAGGUUAUGCAGCAGCGUUCAGUGUCAUCAAUAGUAGUUCCAACUCCAUAGGACAACAUCAUGCAACAGUGUUCAGUGUCGGCAGUAGAAUCUUUUGUCUCACUCAACCGGACAAGGCAGUGUUCAGCAUCAGCAGUAGUAGCUUCACAACAAUAGAACAAGGUUAAACAGCAGUGUUCAGUGUCAGCAGUAGUAGCUUCACAACAAUAGGACAAGGUUAAACAGCAGUGUUCAGUGUCAGCAGUAGUAGCUUCACAACAAUAGGACAAGGUUAAACAGCAGUGUUCAGUGUCAGCAGUAGUAGCUUCACAACAAUAGGACAAGAUUUAACAGCAGUGUUCAGUGUCAGCAGUAGUAGCAUUAACUCCUUAGGACAAGGGUAAACAUGCAGUGUUGUGUCAGCAGUAGUAGCUCCAACUUAAUAGGCCAGCAGUGUUCAGUAGAACAAGUAGUAGCUUCAGCCCUUAGGAAAAGGCUGAGCAACAGUGGUAUCUCAAACUCCACAGAAGAAGGAUAGAAAGCAGUAUCAAUUGUCAGCUGUAGUAGCUUCAUGUCCACAGGAUAAGAUCAAGAAGUGUUUUCAGUAUCAGCAGUAGUAACUCCAAUGCCACAGGAAAAGGUUAAGCAGCAGUGUUCAGUGUCAGCAGCAGUAGUUGCUCCAAUGCCACAGGACAAUGUUAAGCAGCAGUGUUCAGUGUCAGCAGCAGUAGUAGCUUCAACUCAGCAGGAUGGGGCUAAGCAGCAGUAUUCAUUGUCAGCAGUGGUAUCUUCAACUCCACAGGACAAGGUGAAUCUGGUAGUGUUCAGUGUCAGCAGCAGUAGCUCAAAGUCCACAGGAAAAGGGUAUUCUGCCAUUCUUUGAUUAUAUCACCCACAUUUCCUAGAUAGGUCUGGGUGGACGUUGUCAUUCAUGACUGUUUUUAAUAAAGGUUGUAGAAAUGUCUCUUUUGCAUUGGUAAAUUUGUUCAAAUGUAUUACAAUUAUCUGUUGGAAUGUACAAAUGGUGACAAUUUAAAGGAAAAACCUGAAUAAAUGAGUGGAGGAACAUGACGAAUGCAGAAACCUCCAUAUAGGUGUGCUGCAUGUUACAAUUAACAUCCUAUUAUUCUCUUUCGCAUCUAUGAAAGGCUGAACAUGCCCAGUUGACCUCGAAUUUGGAUCAAGAUGGCAGGAAGAAAGGAUGUAAUUGUUAGAACUCCAUCCCUCCAGUACAGUUCCAGGGACUCAGAAUCUAUGCCAAGACAUAUUAAUGCUGAUCUGGCAGCUCGUGGUGGCCCAACACCUUACUGAGUCAUUUAUUGUUUUUUUUUCUUUUGAUUUGUCACUCGUCUGUAGAUUCUAUCACAAUGAGACUAACCUGUAUGAAUGAAGGUUAAAUAAAAUAUAAAAUGAAAUAGUCUGAGUUUCCAAAUGUUUUAUUUGCUACUAAAUUCCUUCUCAUAAAACCACAAGAUUUAUCAAAGUUGGCAGGUCUUAG
ensembl:lncRNA